CGUGGAUUCAAAUGACAGUCUGAUGUCACUUCCUCUCUGUAUGAAGAAGUCCAUUCAGUAUUCUUGCAAGGCAGGUCUGCAAGCAGCAAAGUCUUUCAGUCUGUAUAUCUGGGAAUGUCUUUGUUUUCUGCCUUCAUUUUCAUAAGUUAGUUUUGCUACAUGUGAGAUUCUUGUCUGACAGCUUUGUUUUCUUCUUUAAGCACUUUGAAUAUGUCAUCACAUUGUCGUCUGAUCUGCAUUUUUUUUUUUAAAGGUUCACUCUGAGCUAACAUCUGUUGCCAAUCUUCCUCUUUUUCUUCUUCUUCUCCCCAAAGUCCCCAGUACAUAGUUGUAUACUUUUUAGUUGUGGGUCCUUCUAGUUGUGGCAUGUGGGAUGUUGCCUCAGCAUGGCCUGAUGAGCAGUGCCAUGCCCGUGCCCAGGAUUCGAACCUGGGCCGCCGAAGUGGAGAGGGCAAACUUAACACUUGGCCAUGGGGUCGGCCCCUCAAACUUCUUUUUGUUUGAGUAAUCAAUGCCUUUUUUGUUUAAGCCACUUGAUUUUGAGUCUUCUAUAUAAGUAGCUUAAAACAUCCUAAAAGAGUUAAAAAAAGUAAGAAAAUAAUUGCUCCAGAAAGAGACUAGCAAAGGAUAAGACUUAUCUGUACUUAAUAUAGUUUGUUGUCAGCUAUUACUCUCUCAUUCCAUACUUUCCAAUAUGGUAGCCACUAGCCACAUGUGACAUUGAACCCUAGUUUGAACUGAGAAUUUUGUAAGCAUAAAAUAAACACCAUAUUUUGAAGACUUAGAGAACCAAAAUAAUAAAAUGUUUCUAAUAAUUUAAAUUGAUCACAUGUUGAAAUGACAAUAUGUAGGACAUAUUGGGUUAAAUAAAAUAUAUUAUUAAUUUUUUUCUUUUUAUUGUUUUUAAUGCUACUAGAAAAUUUAAAAUUACAUAUGUGGUUCCCACUAUAUUUCUACUGGACAGCACUGAUCUAGAUAGAAUCCAAGAAUUGUCGUAUCACUUGCCAACUAAGGUCAGGCAGUUGCAGUGGUUGGUGUCAAAAGAGAAGGGGAUUCCAGAAGAAGGAUUUUGCUGGAGGUGGACUUUGCAACAUCACUCAAUGCCACUAUGGAGGUGGGUGCAUUCUGCCCUCUUAGGCUGCAUUCUUAUGAAGGACCACCUCCUUCUUGCUUUACAUGUAUUUCCGUCUGCCCACGAUGGGCAGACAAUUUUCAGCAUGUAGGAAACAUGAUUGCUUUGGCAUCAGGAUUUUUGAAAGACUGAGAAAUCCUGGGUUAAUACUGAAAUGAAGAGAGGCCUACCCAGUGGUGUAGUAGUUAAGUUCAUGUGCUCUGCUUUGGCAGUCCAGGGUUUGCCAGUUUGCAUCCUGGGUGUGGACCUACACACUGCACAUCAAGCCAUGCUGUGGUGGCAUCCCACAUAGAAGAACUAGAAGGACUUACAACUAGGAUAUACAACUAUGUCUGGGGCUUUGGGGAGAAAAAAAAAAAGAGGAAGACUGGCAACUGAUGUUAGCUCAGGGACAAUCUUCCUCACCAAAAAAAGAGAAAUGAAGGAAUUGGAUUAGAUCACUGUAA
rnacentral:lncRNA from 1 species